ensembl:lncRNA
UAGCACUGCACUGUGCCCUCCACUCCUCAGCGUUAUGUUGCCAUCUGCACACUCCAUGCUUGUGCUACAUGCAACUGACUUGUGAGAAAUAUCACCAAAGUCACAUAAUGAUGUUAAAAGUUUUUGGGGUCAUAUUACUCGCUGUCCAGGGCCAUAGGUUGGACAUGUCUGAUUUAAUGGUAGACUUGGCAGUGCUGGGUUUUUGGUUGGGCUUGAUGACCUUAGAACCAACCCAAAUGAUGUCACCAAGAAACAGGGUAUGAAGAUAACUAAUUAGGGCAGAACUGUGUUAUAACCACAGAUUGCUUCUGUAGUGUAACACAAUUUAUUAACUUAGUUUUUAUAGAACCACCAGCCUCCAGAAUUAAGAAGAAAUUGAAAAUAUCAUGAAUUCCUUCAGAGACAAGAACAAAAGUUCCUGGAGAAAAAUAUUGAAGUGGAAAUAACCCCUCUGCUUUUGUAGAUAGCAGCCUGAGAGGAUUCCUUGAAUUACUGUUCUUCUAAACCUGUAAGUAAUGCUUUCCAUAUGGCAUGGUUAGUAUGAAAUCUCAUUUUUAAAGCAAAAUGUCAGAAUGACACGUUCCUGCCAUUCCCCUUUCUUUACUGAUGUAAUGAUAUGGCAGUGUGAAAGGAAAUGAAGUAACACUUUAAAUGAAGAGAGGUAGAGGAUUCUUAAUGACUUGAUGCCCUCAUACUACUAUUUAAGAAAGAAAAACAGGUGGUGAAAGCGUUGAUGUAACCAUCUCCUGAAUGACUGCUUGAAAAGGCAUAAGGUAGUGUUUUUUAAAAAGGAAUUUUCCUUAUCAUAACAUACUUGAAAACAGGUAAUACAGUAAGGCUAUAGACAAACAUGCAUCUUGUGUUUUCAGGGAUAUAUAUAAGCAGAAACCCAGUCAAGGGAUAUCAAUUUACAUCGAUAAAAAAAUAUACCAUAUGAUUUUCAAAUCAGUGUAGCAUGGCUGAGUUUUAGCUCAUCUUUGAAUGGGCAUAACGAAUAGCAUAUCUGAAAGGAAAUUUUGAAGACACGAGCAAUUUGACUAUGAGAAACCCUGCAAGACAAAAUUACUCUUUAACUAUCUCUAAUGAAAACUAAAAGCAGCAGUAAGAAAUGUAAAGCCCAAAUAAGUGCAAUGCUCCUGCAAAUGGUUGCAUCUGGAGUGGACACUAAGUAGAAGUAAAGAGAUGCUGGUUUAAGCUGUAUGGCGUCUUAAGCACUGUACAGUAGAACCCACUGUUAAGAUUAGAAAAGUUGCACUUAAAGAAGACAUAGAAAUUCCUGAAGAAGCACCAGACUGUAAGGAAAUACACAUAUUGAGUGCUGUUGAUUGCAGAAGACAGGGAAUGCCUGAGUGGGAAUUGUGUAUUUGAUAAAAUGCUGUAUACACUGUCAAUCUUAAGCUCGACAGAAAAUCUCUGAGCUGCUUUGCUUGAGACUGCAAUUUAGCAAUUAGCUACCUUUCUUUCCAUCUGAAGCCUCUUUAUCCAGUGAUUUCUUCUCACUCCUUGAGGCCUCUGUGACAAAAGUAUUCAGGACAGAUGGUGACAAUAAUCAUUGGGGACCUGUACCCUUACAGUUUGCGCUGGCUAUGUGCAGGAAGACAAAGGUAUUGGCUGAGAGGAGAGCAGCUGAGGAUAUUAAGAAAGAGAAAAAUAAAGAACUGGGGAUUAAAGCCAUUACUGGCAUAUGGAAGAGGCAGAGGGCAACCGUAGGAAUAUCCAGGGUACAGUUACAGGCAGGUGGGAGAAGGGGAAGAAGGGAUUGGAAACUUAGUGGUAUAAGAUGUGGGAACAGGGUAUCUAAGAUAUCUAACAGAUACAAAAACAAAAUCAGGAAACAAAAUCAGCAUAGGAGCCUAGAAGCAAGAAAAAUCUUUUUCAACAGCUGUAGGGUUCUAUUGCAAAGCUUGGUUUUAUGCCAGCAUCUUGUGUGCUAGUAUUAACUUGGCUGAAAAGUGGAGAUCUGACUUAGCAGUAUAAAAAUGUACUCCCCCACAUACUGGCAUUAAUAAAAAAAUCAUUAAAGUUCAUUUCUGGCUUAUUAGCCACCCUGAAGAGUUGGCUGCUAUUUUGCAGUCUCAAUUCAGAACCAGUGAUAAGCGCUGCACCUCUUUGUUUCCUUUAGACAGUCUGUCCCCGACUGGUUUCCCAAUUUACUAUCAUCUGGCUUUACAAUUUUAACCCUUUAUUUUAUUUUAAACACUGUUAAUACAAAUAACGUGCUUAUUGUUUCAGUCAAAACCUUUUUUUUCCUUAGAAUCUUUUUGCUGAAAUGAUAGAAGGCAAAGCAGUGAAAUGGCACAGUAUAAGCGUUCAAAAUCGUUCUGUGAGUUUUCCUUUUGUACUUCUGCUGUUGUUUCUAUGGAGUAGUCACUGUUGCUAUGUAUUUUUUCUCUUUGUUUCUGCCAGAACAUGACUGGCUGGGUCAACAUGCUCAUAGUAGUAGUAGAGAAUAGCAUAAUUGCUGCUUGAUUAGAAGAGGUAUUUUAGAAACAGCUUUGUGUGUUGGAAAAAUCCCUAUAAUGUUUCAAUUUUUCUAGCAAUGGCAAAAUCAUAAGUAAUUAACCAAACAAGGCACAGUUAAUUCUAAUGAGGUGCACUAGGGAGAAAGGAGGAGGAAGUUGUAAAUCUAAGCAAUAUUCAAUAUUGCAGUGUCCUGAACUUUGCUACUAAACAAUGUGAUCUUAUGUGUGUCAAUCUAAUAUGUCUAGAGCAAUGAAGCAGUGAUCCUUUAACCAUUUUAAUCAAUACUAUGCAGUCAGGCAGGUUAAGUAGUAACCUGCCACAGCUGACUAGACUAAACUUAAAGGAACCUCUAUCAGGCUGUAUUCUCACAGGUGAACUCAAAUGGAUGCUUUCACCUAAAGGACAUGCAGAUGCCCAGCAGCAAGCUACUGGGAAAUGUUUUGAGCCUAGCAAGUUUUAAGAGCUAAUGAGUUGUUUUUCACAGAACUGAGAUGAAAAGAAAUAAAGAACAUACCAUUGGUAGAUGCUAGCAUGUUGCAUUCUCUUCCACGUCUUGUGUUCUAUUCUACCACUGACGUUUGAUUGAGUGGCCUCUUAUUAUGAGAAAUAGCUAACGAAACUUAUAAAUAAGAAAAAGGAAAUAUUGUACUUCUUAUUUUUUGCACAAGUUCUCUUCAAGUGUACUGAAUUUCUGAGUCAAUCAGAUCCCACAGACUUUGCAGCUCAGAGCAUGCUUGAGCACAAAACUGAAUUUUGUCAUCUUGAAUAUCUUGCUGACAGAGAAAGUGCCUUAAGAAAUUCCAGAUGGAGCCAAAACAGAAUGUGGUAUAGAGAUGAAGCAUCUCGGAGAUGAGAGAUGCUGAUGUGCACUGUCAAGUGCUGAUGUGGAUGAGUUCUGACCGCUGUACAGAGACAGGCUCAGCAGAGAUGGAUUCAACCCACAGAAAGUUUAAGGAGUCCAAGAACUUCCUUUCAUAUCAGCAGAAGAGAUUCACACUUGCAACAUUCAUUUUAGUUAAGGCUUCUGCAAAUACAGAUUUGCCUCUGAAUUACUGGAGUCCUCUGUUUAUAAAGAGAGCAUGUAAAAUAAAAAUGUAGCAAUUUAGAAUGGGAAGUGGAAUCAGAAUGCAUAUGCAUGUCAGGGAGGACAGUGUUCUUAGCCCAGACCAUUUUAAUUAUACAACACGGCAAAAACUCAUCUGUUUGCACAAUCUCAAAAUUUUACAAUAGAAAUGCCAGUGUAAGAUCAACUAGAAAUAACAGGGUAUCAGCAAAGGAAUUGAAACAAAUGCAGUGUCAGCUGUGCCAGUGUGCUGUCCUGUGCCAAAUGUAUAAUGAACUCAUGGUGAUACAGUGAUCACACUGGAAGGAGACCAUGGUCAUCUGAGAAUAGUUAUUAAACAGUAAAUAUUUGAUAUCCACUGUUUAUUGUUUCCUCUUUGCUUUAGGCUUAGAAGUUCAUUAAAAUGGUACAGUGUGACCUUUAGAGUUUUGAGAGGCAUAAUUUGAUAUAUAACUUCUACAUUAUAACAGUUUUUCUCAAAUUACGUCUAAACUUGGAAGGAACCAUAACAAGGGUGAGUCUGUUAUCAUGAUGCAUGUGGAAAAAAAAAAUGGAUUUCCAGAGGCGGGUUUAAAAACAUGCUGUUUUAUGCACUCAGUAAGUGCACAUAGGUCCUUUAAACAAAGAGGUGACAUAUUUCUUAGAAAUUUGGAAAAUAUAUGAAGAUGCAACUUAACUUAAAGAACUUACUUAAAAUUCCAAUUGAACAAAAACAAUGAUGGUAUAGUCAAUGCUUGAUAUGAAAUGCUUAUCAAAAUUAAUAUCACUUGAGGCUCCCUUUACCUGGAUUUUAUGGAUUAUUAGGACAUGAAGGCAAAGACUAUACAGUCUUUAGCCACUCCCUCCCCUAGGAAAAAGAAAAUAAAUAUCUUUUUCUCUGUUCAGGAUCAGACUAAGCCAAAUAAAUUUACAGGCUGGAAGAGCUGGGGCUGUUCAGCCUGGAGAAGAGAAGGCUCUAGGGAGACCUUAUAGCAGCCUUCCAGUAUCUCAAAAAGGGCUGUAAGAAAGAAGGGGACAGACUCUUUAGCAGGGUCUCUUGUGGCAGGACAAGGGGAAGUGGUUUCAAACUGAAAGAAGGAGACUUAGACUGGAUAUAAGGAAGAAGUUUUUUACAAUAAGGGUUGUGAGACACUGGCACAGGUUGCCCAGGGGAGGUAGAAGCCCCAUCCUUGGAGACAUUCAAGGUCAGGCUGGAUGCGGCGCUGGGAAGCUUGAUCUAGCUGUAGGUGUCCCUGUUCACUGAAGUGGAGUUUGACUAGAUGACCUUUAAAUAUCUCUUCCAAUUCAAACGAUUCUAUGAAGAUCUUUUGCAAUGUCAUUAGCAACUGAAGCACGGUAAAGGUUUAUUUGGACAAGAACUCUGCUGCAAAGGCAGGGCUAUUACUAAGUGUAACAGCACAAUGGGAAGUAAUACAAUGAAGUCAACUAUUGAAUGGAAUUGGGACUGCAUCCUCUAAUGUGAGCUGAGCUACACUUAUUCCUAACAGCUAGAAACAAAAUGAACAGAAAAUUAGGAUUUCUGUUGAAGUGAUUCUGUAAUUUUAUGGAUGUUUUCUUUAUUAUAACUUGUCACAUUGCAAUAUCAGAUAUUGCAAAUAAAUAUUUGAUGUUGCAAAGAGAUAUGUAUACAGUAAAUCUGCUAUCAAAAUUAUAUAGCCUGUGUAGCAUAAAAUUUUCCUUUAUUUAUAUUUUAAAGACCUAUUAGACGGGUGCCUGAAGAAUGCGAAGCAUAAUGCUGAUCACUUGAUGUGCCCUAAACCCUUUCCCUGAGGAGUACAUUUAGUAUUUUUGACAAAUGUGUUGCGUAUAUAACACACUUCAAUCCCUUUACUCCAGGAAGUGAAAUGUAGGGAGAAAGAUUACAUGUUGAAGUAGAGUGUUACAAUUAUGCACUUUAUAAGAUUAAACUAUUAAUUGAUGGCAUUCCUUCCUAACCCUCUUCAGUUCUUUCAUGGUGUUUGAUAAAUACAGCAGGCGAUUCCCUGGACACGUCUAUUUUUUGGGGAGCUGUUUUGUGAAAAUAUCUUUUGCAAAUGCUUCUCACAAUGCAUAUGGUUUAUGAUGGUGUUUUUUACAUUUGGCAUUCUUUAGGACAGUUAACGUUUCAUUUUCAUGACAUGCAAUAUAUUAUUGUUUAACAAACACUAGAGAUAACAUUCUGAAAAUAACUUAGAAUAUAAAUGAAAAUAUCUGUUUCCCAACUAUCCUUUCCACAGUACUGCUUUGCAGUUAAGGGAGAUCUCCCUUCCUGGCACUGCUUCCCUUCACUAUCCAUCUUGAAGACAGAUAAAAAUAUUUUGUCUGUCAAGCUGUGCCAUGAUAGUUGCAAUGAUAUCCAGAGGAGUUGCAGUUUUAUAGGAUUAAUACUCCCUCCCGAGGCCUUCAGAAUACUACCACAGAGUAUUUCCUUACAGAGUCAGGGUAAGACUUUUUGUGUUUUAUUUCACUAGUGAUUGUGGAGCCAUUUAAAAUCUUCUGGUAACAAAUCUGAUCCGCUCUUGUGUGGUGUCCCAUUGUCCUGCAGUGUGGUAGUACAAACUGAAAUAUUAGGAAGCUUCCUUUUGCACAAUGGAGAACCAGAAUUUUUUACAGUCAAUUUUUCUUGGGACUUUACUCAGUUUUUACAUCAGGAAAAGGAAUUUCCUCCGGUUACCCUCGUACAUCAGAGGUGCACAGAAAUGCUGAUUACAUUGCUGUGAUAUGUAACAACACCACCAACAGGUACUACGCUACUUUCCCUUCUUUUUUUGUAGGAACAGGUGAAAGUGUUAUAGGAUUAUCCUGAACUAUGCUUUACUUCUGGUACAAUCAUAACAACCACACUGUACAUUGCUCCAGGGCUUUUUAUUUCCUCAGUCAGGUGAGAGACUUAUUAGUCAGAUGUUUCUCUAUUGACUGUGCAACUAGGUUUUAAGGACAACAUACAAAAUGAGGUAGGGAGAUGAAGGGAGAAAUAUAAGGUCAACUCCUAUUCCACUCGAAUACAUUUCAUUUAACAAAAACAAGAGAGCCAGUGCUUUUUACUGAAGAAGUGGAGUUUAAAUGUAUGUAAACUUACUAACCAGUUUAAAAGUAGAAGACUUUUCUAUUUUUUUUUCUUUUCCUUUUUUUCUUUUUGUUUUUAUGGAUAAGAUAGUCUAAGUAUUGUCCUUUAGAGUUUUCAUAAAAACCUUGAAAUAUUAGUUACAGGAUUGUUUUCUUCCAGGCUUUGUUUUGUUUUGCUUGAUUCUAAGAGAAAGAGGAUCUGGCCAAGAGCACUCAUGCAGAGCAAUUCAUAUGUCUCUGAGGAAUUUGGAUAAAGUUUUCUGGAAACUGGGAAAAGUGGAGGAAUACCAGGAGAUAAUUAAUUAAUCAUAAUCACCUAAAACAUAAGGAUUAUAAUCCUGGUAAAGGAUGUGUAUCUUUGCUGUCCAUGGACAUCAGAAGACUAUCUGCAGUUCUGUGAAAUCAACAGCAUCUACAGUUGGGAUCCAUCUAUGCUAUAGCAAAUUAAGAAUUUAAGGACUUCCCUGGUUGUGUCCUUCAUGGUUGUGCUCUUGACUGAUCAAGAACUGCUGUAAAGAAAGCUGGAAGAAGCCUCAGCAAGGGUUGCCUUCCUCAGGGUGCUGCUUUUUGGACAGAACUCUUGCUUCUCCUUGCAGCUGCUUUACAGCCCUGCCUGUGCCUGAGGGGCUUAUUGACUUGAUGGGCCCAGACUCCCACAUACAGUAUUUCUGGCUUGGCAAAUGAUUUGCAGCCUAUGGAGUACUUAAAGUAAGACAGAGCUGUUGGUUCAGGAACUUAAUCUCAGGGAGUUCAAAUACCAGGAUUCUCUAAUAAAUACCAUUUUGCACUCCUACUGAGAAACCUGAAAUAAAUUGUGAGAUACUGAAUUCAGAAAUAAAGCCCCAAACUUGCAAGCUUUCAUGUCCCUAGCUGAUCUUUCUACUAUGGCAACUUGAAUUUGGAAUUUUCUGACGGACUGAGGUAUGAUUCCCUCGCAUGAGAAUGCAUCCAUGUGAGAGAUGACACAAGAGCUUCAGCUGCACUAUGUUUUAUAAAUAUGAAAACAGUCAAGUAUUAGCUCAACUUGCAGGUAUUCCCAGUCUGCAGGUCUUCCAGAAAUGGAGCAAGGCAUCCCAGUGCUACUCAGUUUGAUGAGAGAACAAAGUGAUCUACUCAUGACAGCCAUCAUCUCUGGGAUAAUGAAGCAAACAUGGAUGGUUCCUUGGCUAGUGCACCCUUGCACAAUUUCAUCUCUUGUCAAGAGCUUACUGUGUGUAAUUACUACUUGAUUUAGUCCGUGGAACCUUUGGAGUAGGGAUGAUGAACAAGAACAGCCAAAGAGUUACAUGAAUAACAAAAUAAUCAGCAGAAUCGCCUCAGACAAUAGAACAUCUGCCAAGACUCUGAUAGUGGGCUUUCUACCCUGUAAACAAGAAUGAAACUUCAAGCAAGAGAAGCAUUCUUUUGUGAGUGAAUUUGGCAGCAGACAAAUUUCUGGUAUGACACACACGAAGCCUGUGCUAUUAGCUCAUAUGUCUUGAAUGUUAACAUAGAGAUGCUACUGUCAGAGGGCAGAUGAAGAUGUGAUAUGAGCGAGCUGCUUCUGGAUGAUAGAAUGCUGCCCUUUAGAUGUGAACCCGAAUUGACCAAAGAGCCAGUAGAUUUUUCUUAGUCUUAAUGAGAAAGAAAUCCCAAAGGGAAAAGUGAUGCAUAUCACCACUCACUGUCAUUCUAGAGAGGUUCCAAUCAGAGCUGGGAAUUGUAAAAAAUGAAAAUGUCAAUGUAAAGCAGCGUGAAUGACUUACUGAAGCAGAGAAUUUGCUACGGAAGGUAUGUGGGAGGCUCCUUCUUCUGUGUGACCUUCAAACCUGCUAGUGAAAGUUGAGUUUGGGCAAAUUUGCCCUGUUGUUUCUACUGCAAUUGAAAGAAAUUGAAUUCAAACUUAGUAAUUCUCAUGAACAUUAUGUUUGAUAUUUUAAUUUUUACAUGUAUUCUUCUUCUGGGUGUACUUGUUUAAUAUCUCAUUUAAAAAAAGCAACUUGAAUGAAAUGCUAUUCAGGUGAGAAUUAUGAUUGCUGCUGCAGUUCUUGACUGUGACUAAAUGACCAUUUUACUUUUUGCAAGUAAUUCUGUUCAAUUGCUAUUUUUGCUGUCUUCAUGAAAAACAAAUGCAUCUGCACUUUGAUAGGUCAUCACUCUUCUAGUUGCUAGGACAGUUAUUUCACUUUUUUUUUUUUUUUUUUUUUUUGCAGAAAUGUGUGGCUGAGCAAAUACUACCUCAGACUACUGCACAAUGCCAACAGCUGUUGAGCUCUGGGUCACAGAGUUUUCUUUACUGUUUUUAUGAACUCUUUGAUGGAGAUGGCAUGGUAAGGUUUCAGCUAAUGAAGCUUUUAUUUCUAGCACUGUUUUCAGUGUGCUUCUGCUUUUGUAUGUUACUGCUUUUGUGCCACUCGGAUUCUGUUCUUUGAGAAUUUACCUACAGCAAUGCAGACAAAUUUGGAAUCAGCUUUGGGGAUGCAGCAUUAAACAAACUCUAGAAAUGAAACUUAAUGUAUUGUUUCUUUCAGAUAUCUAUAGUUCUGAAAAUAACAUUGAGGAUGAAGUAUGUCCAAAUGCACCAGAAAGGAAGUGAUUGCAUCAAACAUACAAACACGUGUGAAAUGCCAGUUGUCCAGCAAGAUGGCAGAUGUGAUUGUGCAAAGUGUGUGUACAAGCCUGAACACAAAUGAACAAGCAUGAACAUACCACAUGAGAACUUGUAAAUAUUAUGAUUACUACAAAAGUAAUUUUAUAAAAAAUAAUACUUAUUUAUAAAAGUCCCCGCGUUUUGCUUAUAUGCAUUACAAUAAAAAUUGCCAUUUUCUUAAAGUAUUUGGGCAUAAUAAAGAAAGUUUUUUUUUUUUUUGUGAGAAAAUCUGACAUUUGAGAACUUGAUGUUAUCUUAAAUAUUAUAUUUAAUUAGAGGUAAAGCUUUUAUGCAAAGACACCCACGUGUAUAACAGACCUUAAAAACUUUGGAAUGUCUUUAUACUAUUACUUAGAAUAUUAGUAUUGAACUGAUGUAGUGAUUUUAAAAAGCACAUUUUAGUUUUUUUUAUUUUUAUAGUAGAAUUGGAAGAUAGCUACAGAAACAGUCAAACGUGAAUUAAAUUUAAAAGUAGACUGUUAAACCACAAAACAUCUGAAUAAUAUUCCUUUCAGGCAGAAUUAAGAUGACCUUAGCAUGCUUUAAAUUCUUCGUAUGAGUUAAUCUCAAAUGAGGCCACUUAAAAUAUGAAAAAGAUAUGUCUACAGAGGAAAGCACUACGCAGAUUAACUGAUACUCUGCAAUAACACUUUCAGUUCGUUGUGAUUCUCAAAAAUUAAUUAAAAUUGAGACAAACCUAUUAUGAAUGUGUUGUGCUUGUGAAAUACUGUUAUUCAG